UACGAAGGGUGCGAGCGUUAAUCGGAAUUACUGGGCGUAAAGAGCGUGUAGGCGGUUUGGUAGGUCCGUUGUGAAAACUCGAGGCUCAACCUCGAGACGCCGAUGGAAACCAUCAGACUAGAGUCCGGAAGAGGAGAGUGGAAUUCCUGGUGUAGCGGUGAAAUGCGCAGAUAUCAGGAAGAACACCCGUGGCUAAGGCGGCUCUCUAGUACGGUACUGACGCUGAGACGCGAAAGCGUGGGGAGCGAACAGG
rnacentral:rRNA from 1 species